UCCCUCUUAGCUCAGUGGUAGAGCGCGUCACUAGUAAUACACAUUGUGAAAUGACGAGGUCAGUCGUUCAAGUCGGCUAGAGGGAA